rnacentral:rRNA from 1 species
GUCUACGGCCAUACCACCCUGAAUGUGCCCAAUCUUGUCUGAUCUCAGAAGCUAAGCAGGGUUGGGCCUGGUUAGUAAUUGGAUGGGAG